rfam:Pteropus alecto contig70808, whole genome shotgun sequence.
CAAAAGGCUCUUUUAGGAGCCACCCCAAUGUUUUAAAAAGAACAUG